CUGCUUAUGUUGUGGUUGACACGCGAUGAGAGCUUCUGCUGCUGACAACACCGACAAGGCUGGAGGUUUCCACAACACAUGGUUGAAUUCAUGAGGGCUUACGGACUUUUAGGCAGCUCCAAAGUGAAUAAAAACCCAGAAUAGAGCCACGCGGAACACUUCAACUCAAAGGCUGAUCAGUCAACCAAGAAUGGACUUGAAACUGGUGUUCAUGAGAACACACAGCCUGAGGUGACGUUCUUUGACCCAAAUCACCUUCGUUUACCAGCCCUUGUUGACACAAUGUUUGAUAAUUGCUCCUCCUGUCCGUGUCCAGGUGGUCUCCCAGAUCCCCAAGGUUGGACCCUGGGUGUGCUUCCCUCCAUCCUCAUAGCGCUCCUCUCCUUAAUCAUCCUGGUGCUCACACUGCUGGGGGCUGCAUGUCUCAAAAAGACAGCUGAAGAUAGACAGGAAGCAGGGGGCAGAGAGAGUGACAUGCACUAAAGGGCCA